GAAUUCAUAAAAUAAAUAAAUAGAUACAAAUACAAUAAUCCUAGCCGUUCAAUUACUACCUUCACGAAAAUCUUAAUCUCUCCGAGAAAAAGAAAAAGAGGGUGAGAGACAGAGAGCAACAAAAUCAGAUAGCAAUUAACAAAACCCUAGAUUACAAUGGACCGCUCCUUCAAACACACCCGUGACGACCGUGAUCGUGACCACCACAAACACCGAUCAAGAGACGAUAAGCAUCGAGACUCCUCCGAUUCUCACCACCACCGAUCAGAGAGAGAAUCUCACCAACGCGAGCAUCACAAAUCAUCCAGGCGCGAUGAUACAAAGCGCGAAAGAUCUCACGAACGAGAAGAGAGUGUGGAUAGGCGAGAGAGAUCUUACGAUCACAAAUCGUCUUCCUCAUCGAGGCGUGAGGAGAGAGAGAGGUCGUAUGAUGCGAGAGAGAAGGGAGUAGAGAGAGAAAACGCGAGAAGAGAGAAAGAGAGACUGUAGAUGAAGAUUAUUUGGAGAGAAAGAAAAGAAAGGAGAGAGGAGGUAGUGAGGAUAGGGCUGUUGUUGAGAAGGAGAAGAGGAGUAGAAGAAGAUUUGGUGAAAAAGUGAAAGAAGAGGAUAAUAGGACUGACAGCAAUGAUAAUGGUAAUAGUUUUGAGAAUGUGAAGAGAGUGGAUUCGAGUGAGGCUGGAGUGAAGGAGGAAGGCAAUGAUGAGCCAAUUGGUGGCGGCAGGGGCAGCACCACAGAAAACGGUGGAGUUUCGACUACAAAUGUGGGGAGCGGCGAGAUGGGAUUAGUGGUUCGUCACAGUAUUUGAUAUAGCUCUGUUAAGUUUAUGCCUGAAGCAGAAAAUUGGGUUAUGCAAUUUCCUGUGUGGUCUGUGUGUGAUUUGGAGGUGGACUGGGAGUGGGGUUAUGUCCGGUACCAUGCUUGCUUUUGCUGGCUUGUUAUAGUUGAAUAUGGUGUGCAUGAUGGCGGUUACUGAUUUUUGUACAGGUUUUGCUUUUGCUGUGUUUCUUAUUAUGUGUAUGUUUGUCACAGCUAUAAGCUAUUUUAUUUCUUGUUACGUCUCAUGUAUGAUUGACUGGGACUGUUAUUGUGUGUUUCUAUGCAUGUAAUAUGAGAAUGGAGGUGUUGUAAUGGAUAAUUUGUGGUUUUUUAAUUGUAAGAUGAUUAGUAUCUGUGCUUUGUUAGAAAUUGAAAAUUUAGCGAUUAUUUGGCUCAUGUUGAUAUUUAUAUGUUUCAAGUUACAUGGUUCUGUAGGAAAAGUAGAGGUCAAUUUUAGUGCUAAUUAAAUGAUGGUAGACAUAGAGUGCUCGUGGCAUAUGUGGUUUGGCAAGUAGUGUUCUUAAUUUUCUUAUAUAGAGGUUGUGUAAAGUGAAAGCUGGUAAGUGAAAUUUUAUUUCCUUUGGGUGCAAUAUUUGCUUUCAGAGAAAUGCUGUUUCAUCACUUUUACAUUGCUAGUCAUGUCGUUCUUGAUGUUGUGGGCAUUUUGGUGACUCUUAAUGCAUUGCUCAUGUAAGUGUCCCUUGCAUUGUAAAACCAUCCCCACAUCGAAAACAAAAAAGAACUGCCAGGUCAGUCUUGUCUAUAAAUAGGGGUCCGCUACCACCCGUCUCAUUAUGAGACAAAGCCACAUAGCAGCGCACUACAGGUAAGUCUCUCUACUAGAUACUUCAUUUUCAUUUAAUUACUAGAAAAAAUAAAAUACCUUCAUUUUCAUUUAAUUACUGGAAAAAAUAAAAUACCUGCCUAUAAUGCUUGACACUUGGAGAAGAAGACAAAUUAAUUAGGAGAUAAUAACAAUUUGUUUUUAUAUUUGUUUGUUGUGAUCUGCUAGUCACAUGUUCAUUCCAAUAAUGAUAUAUAUAACCAUGAUUUGUGUGUGAAAUUAUGAUAUGUUUUUUAAAUUUUAAUAAGAAAUAAAAACUAAUCAAUUAGUAGAAUAUUUGUAUAAUUUGGUUAAUAAAUACGAUCCCUUGAGUUUGUCAAACAAUACUAUGCUUAGCUUGUUUUUUUCUACAUGUUAUCUUCUAUUUGCCUGUCUUGAUAAGAAGAUUAAUCUUCUUGUAUUAAUUAGCAAAAAAGUCAUUAGUGGUGAUACUAAUUAAGUGUCUUUAUCUUUAGAAUUCUUUUUCUAUUUUUACUGGUGUUUUUUGCAGUAUUCUUCAAAAUGAAAGGUACCAGAUUUCAUUAAGAAUUUUGCGAAAUCAAACGCAUUUGUUGAUAUUUUUUUUACCUUUAUUUUCAAUAAUUCUUCUUUUUUUUGUUAAAUUUCAUUGAGUUUAUUUCAUUAAAUAUUUCAGGAAAAGGGAUAUAUGGAAUAGUUUUUUUAUGUAGAUAUAAAUUGAAUGGACAAAUGUAUGCUGUGAAGAUCGUAAAAUUUAAUAAAGAUCAUGAUUAAGAUAAAGUGUUGAGAGAAGUGAAAGCGUUGGCCAAAUGUAACCACAAUAAUGUGGUAGGGUAUUUCACUGCAUGGAUUGAAUUGAGGGUGGUGUGGUCUUCUGAUGAAGAUGAAGGUUGUGAUGAAAAAGUUGGUUGUGAUGAUGCUACUCUUAAAGAUCCGGAUGCUAUGCUUUUUAAUUUUCAUAUAGAUGAAGCAUUGUCAUCAGUAAAUAAAUUUUUAAUAGUUAAAUUGUUAAGUUUUGUUUUAAAAUAGAUAGUCAAGAUUUCUAUAGAAGAGUAAGCUUGUUAGAAUAAAGAACUACUAUUUUAAAACAAAACUUAACAGUUUAACUAUUAAAAAUUUACUUACUGAUGACAAUGCUCUAUCUGUAUGAAAAGCAUAGCAUCCGGAUCCUUAGGAGGAGCACCAUCACCACCUUUUUUUUCAUCAUAACCUCCAUCUUGAUCAAAAAACCGCACCACCUUCCAUUCAAUCCAUGUAGUGAAAUACCUUACCACAUUGUUGUGGUUACAUUUAGCCAAUGUUUUUACUUUUCUUAACACUUUAUCUUGAUCAUGAUCUUUAUUAAAUUUUACAAUUUUCACAGCAUAUAAUUGUCCAUUUAAUUUAUGUCUGCAUAAAAAAACUAUUGCAUAUACCCCUUUUCCUGAAAUAUUUAAUGAAAUAAACCCAAUGAAAUUUAACAAAAGAAAAUAAAGUAUUAUUGAAAAUAAAGGUGAAAAAAAUACCAACCAAUGCGUUUGAUUUCGCAAAAUUCUUGAUGAAAUCUGGUACCUUUUAUUUUGAAAGAUAUUGCAAAAAACACCAGCAAAAACAGAGAAAGAAUCCUAAAGAUAAAGGCACUUAAUUAGUAUCACUACUAAUGACUUUUCUGCUAAUUAAUAUAAGAAGAAUCUUUUUAUCAAGAAACGCAAACAGAAGAUAAUAUGUAGAAUAAAACAAGCUAAGCAUGAUAUUAUUUGGCAAACUCAAGGGAUCGUAUUUAUUGAUCAAAUUAUACAGAUAUUCUACUAAUUGAUUAGUUUUUAUUUCUGAUUAAAAUUUAAAAAACAUAUCAUAAUUUCACAUAUAAAUCAUGGUUAUAUAUAUAUAUAUAUAUAUAUAUAUAUAUAUCACAACAAAAAAAUAUAAAAACAAACUGUCAUUAUCUCCUAAUUAAUUUGUCUUCUUCUCCAAGUGUCAAGGCAUUAACAGCAGGUAUUUUAUUUUUUCAGUAAUUAAAUGAAGUAUCUAGUAGAAAAAUAAUCCUCUUAUCAGGAAAAGAUAAUCAAGAUGAUGUAGAAUAACACAAGCUCAACAUAGUGAGAAUACUAAUAUUGUUUGGCAAACUUAAUGUAGCAUAUUUAUUGAUCAAAUUAUUCAGAUAGCAACAUUAGUUGUGGAAAGAAACAUGAAAAAAACCAUCAUUAGGUUCUAAACAUAAACAAAUUAUCCUAAUUGCUUAGUCUUUGUUUUUUAUUAGAAUUUCAAAAACAUAUCAUAAUUUUAUAAAGAAACCAUGGUUGUAUACAUUAAUCCAAGUCAAUUCAUUGUUGGUGGAAUGAACAAAGUGAAUACAAAAAACAUAUCACUACCAAAUCACAACAAAUAAAAGAUGAAGGAGAAUAGGAAUGAAAAAAUUGCAUGAACAAUGCCAAUGGGUGUUGGAGCACAGUUGAUGAACAGUCCUGGUCAUUGCUAAUUGGAAAUUAGUAAUGGUAAUUAAUUAAUUAAUUUUGCAACCUCCUGAUUAAUUUGUCUUCUCUAAGUGUCAAAGGGGAAUAAAGACACUGACACUAGUUACUAUAUUCAAACUAAGCUUUCCUUCAAUUUUAUUUUCGUUUCACAUUCCUUGUCAUAGGUAUUUUCACAGGUAAAGAAGGAGAAAAAAAAACAAAAAACGAAGCAGAAAAAGAAUGAAUAAAUUGCAUGAGCAAUGCAAAGGGUCUUGGAGCACGGUUCAUGAACAAUCCUGGUCAUUACUAAUUGGAAAUUGGUAAUGGUAAUUAAUUAAUUUUGCAGGCUCCUGAUUGUCUUCUCCAAGUGUCAAGCAAACAUUGGGAAUAAAGACAGUGACGCUGCUCACUGUAUUCAACCUAAGCUUUUCUUCAAUUCUUUUUUUUCACAUUCCCUGUCACAGGUCUUUUCAUAGGUAAAAAGAAGGAGAAAAACAACAAAAGAUGAUAGAGAAAAAGAAUGAACAAAUUGCAUGAGUAAAUGCUAAUAGGUGUUGGAGCAUAGUUUAUGAACAGUCCUGAUCAUUGCUGAUUGGAAAUUGGCAAUGGUAAUUAAUUAAUUUUGCAGCUCUUUAAGUGUCAAGGCAACAGAGGGAAUGAAGUCAGUGACGCUACUCACUGUAUUUAAACGAAGCUUUCCUUCCUUACUUUUUAAUUUCUUCACAUUUCCUGUCGCAAGCCUUUUCACAGGUAAAGAAGAAAAAGAAAAACAACAAAAGAUGAAUGAGGAAAAAAUGAACAAAUUGCAUGAGCAAUGCCAAUGGGUGUUGGAGCACAGUUGAUGAACAGUCCUGGUCAUUGCUAAUUGGAAAUUGGUAAUGGUAAUAAUUAAAUAAAUAAUUUUGCAGGCUCCUAAUUAUUUUGUCUUCUCCACGUGUGAAGACAAUGGAGGGAAUGAAGUUAGGGACGCUAUUUACUGUAUCCAAACAAAGAUUUCCUUUAUUUUUAUUUUAUUUUCACAUUCACUGUCACAAGUCUUUUCACAUGUAAAGAGGAAGAGUCCUCUCUCUUCUUUUCAUGUCACAUGUAAAAAAAAGCAUAUAACCCCCCAGUGAGAGUUGAUUGCUCCAGUGGAUGGUCAAGAUUCCUGUGGAAGAGUAAGCUUGUUAGACUAUUAAAAAUUUAUGUACAAACAAUAAUGUUUCAUGUGGAUGAAUAGCAUAGCAUUUGAAUUCUAAUGAGAAUUCUAACGAGGAGCACAAUCAUUGCCUCGUUCUUCGUAGUAA